rfam:Oryza glumipatula chromosome 3, whole genome shotgun sequence.
AAAAAGGCAAAUCCUGGAUUUUCAUGUCCAACUUUGACUGUCCGUCUUAUAUGAAAUUUUUUUAUAAUUCGUAUUUUCAUUGUUGUUAGAUGAUAAAACAUGAUUAAUAUUUUAUGCGUGACUUGUCUUUUUAAUUUUUUUCAUAUAUUUUUCAAAUAAGACGGACGGUCAAACGUUGGACACGGAAACCAGGGUUUGUCUUCUU